rnacentral:rRNA from 1 species
UACGAAGGGGGCGAGCGUUGUUCGGAAUUACUGGGCGUAAAGGGCGCGUAGGCGGCCGUGGAAGUCAGGCGUGAAAGCCCCGGGCUCAACCUGGGAAUUGCGCUUGAUACUCCGGGGCUUGAGUUCGGGAGAGGAGAGUGGAAUUCCCAGUGUAGAGGUGAAAUUCGUAGAUAUUGGGAAGAACACCGGUGGCGAAGGCGGCUCUCUGGACCGAGACUGACGCUGAGGCGCGAAAGCUAGGGGAGCAAACAGG